AGGUGUUUGUCUUCCACAUGGCUGACAGCUGAAUUCUGUCCAAAAAGGAUGAUUAAGGCUGCAAUAGAUCCUUUGCUGCUUUUCCAGCUAAAAAGAGAGGAGUGAGGACUACAAAGAGUUUCCAUAUUUCUUAAUCUAACUGUAAGUCCCAAAAUGUACAUUCAUGUCUCUUCCACAGAAUGGCAAGGAAAUUUUACAACAGCUACAAGCUCCUGGAUAGCAGAAUGAUUAUACAUGGAGACUGAACAAUGAAAACUGGGAAGAAUCUGGGAACAGCAACAGCAGAACCAGCAACCGAAUCCUUUUUUUUUUUUUUAAUUCCUUCUAAGGAUUAGAAAUUAUUAGUCAGCUAGCUCAAUGAAAACUGUAAUGAAAUCAACAAGUACAAAGGCAUAUGUGAUGUUCUAAAACAGAAAAGCUCAGCUCUUUAGUGUUUCAAACUGAAAUACAGUUCCAUGUACUGUUUAGGGAAUUGGGUAUUGCUGUGACUAGGGUGUACAAGAAAUAAACAAAUCAAGCCAGUUUCAAGCUGCGAAACAAGUACUGAAGUUCAUAAGCAGUUCAGGCUGCUAAUAGCUAGUUCUCAAUUACUAUCAUGGUCACUACAUAUACAAACCCCUUAGUCCUUAAAAAAUCUAUCCCAGAUGAGCUGCAAGUACACAAUGCAGUGGAGUUGAUGCCAUGCAGUGAGUGCCGACGGCUCCAUCCUUGGUGGUCCUUGGUCACCAGGAUAAGGAUAACCAGGCUUGAGAGCUUCUUGCAGAACUUGAAAGCGGAUACUGCUGAAGACAGCGUGUGCACUUUGACGGCUGCUUUAUCUCCCUGGAACACCGAACGUUUCAGGAUCUGCGAAGCAGAAUUCUCCAAAUCCCUCCCUCUGUACUCCGCUUCUCGGAGGACACCGAGGCCGCUUUUCGCCGCCGCUCGGAGCCCACGAU